GACGGAGGGUGCAAACGUUGCUCGGAAUCACUGGGCAUAAAGCGCACGUAGGCGGCCAACUAAGUCCGACGUGAAAUCCCCAAGCUUAACUUGGGAACUGCGUCGGAUACUGGAUGGCUUGAAUUCGGGAGAGGGAUGCAGAAUUCCAGGUGUAGCGGUGAAAUGCGUAGAUAUCUGGAGGAAUACCGGUGGCGAAGGCGGCAUCCUGGACCGACAUUGACGCUGAGGAGCGAAAGCUAGGGGAGCAAACGGG
rnacentral:rRNA from 1 species